rnacentral:antisense_RNA from 1 species
GUCGAAGCGGGGAUCUGGCCGCCGCUUGGAAAGAGGCGUGCGGGUGAACCGAGCCCAAGUGCGCGGUGAGGGCGGCGGCCGAGGCCCCUGCCAGGCCCUCCGGGGCCGCCCCCAGAUCCCCCACGCCGGCGUGCAGAAUGUCUGCGAUGCAGAAGGAGGGCUUUUUGACGGCGGCGGGGUCCAAGGGGAAGGAGCAGCCGCCUGGGCCGGCCGAGGAGCAGUAAGCGGCCGACCAGAGGCUGAAGUUGGAGGCGUAGAAGGGAGCCAGCCCGGCUGCGAACAUCCUGCCGGGGCCAGGUGGUCUCAGAAGAGGCAACUGGUUGCCAGGAUGCACAGUCUAUGAGACCCAGAAGUAACUCUGGAGAUCCUCCAAUUACCUCUCACUUUACAGUGGAGGAAACUGAGGCCCAGAUGGAGUCAGUAGUUUACUUGAGAUCUCACAGUUGCAGAAGUGGACUAGAAGCCGGACGGAGUUUUGCUCUUGUUGCCCAGGCUGGAAUGUAAAUGGUGUGAUCUCGACAUACUGCAACCUCUGCCUCCCAGGUUCAAGCGAGUCUCCUGCC